GGGAGGGGGGGUUACUCUUACACGUGGUGGUGGUGGUGGGGGAAGGAGGGGCAGUUGGGGUUGAAUUACUCAGCCAACAUGACUCAUCAAAGUCCGCAUCACGUUUUUGUCUUCCUUGUUUCCCUCGCAGCACUGAAACCUGGCACCACAUUCUCACACGUUUCCACACCUUAUCUCUGUUACUUCCAGGCUUUAAUGUAAGGUACUGAGCAUUAGGAGGGUAUUUUCAUUAUCUUACUAAUGGCUUAAUACGGAUUCUGCAUUAUCACUAUAAAAAAAAAUAAAAAAAAAACAUCCUUGAGGACCCAACUAGUCGUCUCUAAGGCUUUUGCUUUCAGGUACGCUUUCAUGGUUCAAGUAGUUGUUUAACAAGACAAGGAUUCUGCAUUAUCAAUGGGAAAAAAACACGCAGGAGAACCUGAUUGAUCAUCUCCGCGACCUUUGCUUUCAGACCACCUCCGUCCCUUGUAUCCCCCGAUGCAAUAACCACGCUCACGCGCCCCUCAGAACCUUGUACCUUUGUCAACACUAAACCAGAUGGAGGAGGAUGAAGAUAAUGGAGCGACAGAAAGGUUGAGCAGCUGACUGAACUUUGCCUGCAGCGCCCAAUACCGGUCGUUCAGUCCAUCUUCCUAUCAUCCUAUACUUUGCUCUUCCUCCACCUCGUUUUCUUCCUCGAGUUACCGAGUACACAUUUCUUUUACUAUCUUAUAUAAUUCAGUUUCCACUAGUUUCUUUUACAUUACUCAUUCUCAUUUUCUCCAAACGAUCACAUGGCUAUAUUUUUAAUGCAGCACCAUGACCCGUUGCUAUGGCGCACGAAAAUCAAGCCAUAUGUCUUCUUAGGCGCCAUACAUUCCUCCCCAUCAAGGCCUUUCUACGCACAUUCCUCGUCUGCUACCUUCCUUGCUUUCCGUGGGGGAGGCUGAGCGACCAAGACGGAUCGCUGCAAACCAAACUACACCACAAUAAUUUACUCUUCCAGGAAACAAGAAAGAAUCAAGUGGGGAAACACCCAAUGAAAAUUCCUAAGUCAUACAUGGACGUUUUUGUUUUCCUUCCUGUUCCUCGAUAAAUACACUGGUUUUGGUUGACGUGAAGGUUCUCAACUACUGCGCACUGCACGGUGUUUGUUUAAUCCCCAUAUUCAAAUUUAUUCUGUGAGGAUGUGACAGUCAGACCUAGUGUUCUAAGUAAUUAAGAUGGUAAUGAUUAAGGAAGAAUACGAGAGAGAGAGAGAGAGAGAGAGAGAGAGAGAGAGAGAGAGAGAGAGAGAGAGA